UUUCAAUGAUGAUCACAACAUAAAAUCUGAAAUCAUGUGUUGAUUUAAUAAUCGAGCUUUUUAAUACUGAUAUCC